rnacentral:rRNA from 1 species
UACGAGAGGCCCAAACGUUAUUCGGAAUUACUGGGCGUAAAGCGCGCGUAGGCGGACCUGCAAGUCGGGGGUGAAAGCCCGAGGCUCAACCUCGGAACUGCCUUCGAUACUGCGGGUCUCGAGUCCGGGAGAGGUGAGUGGAAUUCCUAGUGUAGAGGUGAAAUUCGUAGAUAUUAGGAAGAACACCAGUGGCGAAGGCGGCUCACUGGCCCGGUACUGACGCUGAGGCGCGAAAGCGUGGGGAGCAAACAGG